AUUGAACGCUGGCGGCAUGCCUUACACAUGCAAGUCGAACGGCAGCACGGGUGCUUGCACCUGGUGGCGAGUGGCGAACGGGUGAGUAAUACAUCGGAACGUACCUUAUCGUGGGGGAUAACGCAGCGAAAGUUGCGCUAAUACCGCAUACGCCCUGAGGGGGAAAGCGGGGGAUCGAAAGACCUCGCGCGAUUAGAGCGGCCGAUGCCUGAUUAGCUUGUUGGUGGGGUAAAAGCCCACCAAGGCGACGACCAGUAGCUGGUCUGAGAGGACGAUCAGCCACACUGGGACUGAGACACGGCCCAGACUCCUACGGGAGGCAGCAGUGGGGAAUUUUGGACAAUGGGGGCAACCCUGAUCCAGCAAUGCCGCGUGAGUGAAGAAGGCCUUCGGGUUGUAAAGCUCUUUUGUCAGGGAAGAAACACCGGCUCUAACACAGUCCGGGAAUGACGGUACCUGAAGAAUAAGCACCGGCUAACUACGUGCCAGCAGCCGCCGUAA
rnacentral:rRNA from 1 species